ACACGCACUGGAGGUCCGAACCCACUAAUGUUGAAAAAUUAGGGGAUGAGCUGUGGAUAGGGGUGAAAGGCUAAACAAACUUGGAAAUAGCUGGUUCUCUCCGAAAACUAUUUAGGUAGUGCCUCAAGUAUCACCAACGGGGGUAAAGCACUGUUAUGGCUAGGGGGUCAUCGCGACUUACCAAACCAUUGCAAACUCAGAAUACCGUUGAGUGCGAGCUUGGGAGACAGACAUCGGGUGCUAACGUCCGGUGUCGAAAGGGAAACAACCCAGACCGCCGAUUAAGGUCCCCAAGCCAUAGUUAAGUGGGAAACGAGGUGGGAAGGCUUAGACAGCCAGGAGGUUGGCUUAGAAGCAGUCAUCCUUUAAAGAAAGCGUAAUAGCUCACUGGUCGAGUCGUCCUGCGCGGAAGAUGUAACGGGGCUCAAACUAUGCACCGAAAUCGCGGAUAUCCGUAAGGAUAUGGUAGGAGAGCGUUCUGUAAGCCGAUGAAGGUGUCUUGAGAAGGAUGCUGGAGGUAUCAGAAGUGCGAAUGCUGACAUGAGUAGCGAUAAAGGGAGUGAAAAGCUCCCUCGCCGAAAGCCCAAGGUUUCCUGCGCAACGUUCAUCGGCGCAGGGUGAGUCGGCCCCUAAGGCGAGGCUGAAAAGCGUAGUCGAUGGGAAACAGGUCAAUAUUCCUGUACCUCUUUGUAAUGCGAUGGGGGGACGGAGAAGGUUAGGUCAGCCGGGUGUUGGACGUCCCGGCUCAAGCGUGUAGGCAGACCUCUUAGGCAAAUCCGGGGGGUCAAUGCUGAGGCGUGAUAACGAGUGGUCUUGUACCGCGAAGUGAUUGAUACC
rnacentral:rRNA from 1 species